rnacentral:rRNA from 1 species
CACGUAAUUAGCCGGACCUUAUUCGUAUAGUACUGUCAUUUUCUUCCUAUACAAAAGAUUUUUACAACCCGAAGGCCUUCUAAAUCACGCGGCGUCGCUGCAUCAGGGUUUGCCCCCCGAUUGUGCAAAAUUCCCCACUGCUGCCUCCCGUAGGAGUCUGGGCCGUGUCUCAGUCCCAAUGUGGCCGUACACUCUCUCAAGCCGGCUACUGAUCGUUGCCUUGGUGGGCUGUUAUCUCACCAACUAGCUAAUCAGACGCAAGUCCAUCUUACACCGCUAAAACACUUUGAUUACUUCCUCAUGCGAGAUUGUAAUGUCAUAGGGUAUUAUUCUCCGUUUCCAGAGGCUAUCCCCGUUGUGUAAGGCAGGUUACUCACGCGUUACUCACCCGUUCGCCACUAAUCCACUUAAGGUCAUUCCGAAGAAAUCUUUUAAGUUUCAUCGUUCGACUUGCAUGUGUUAUGCACGCCGCCAGCGUUAAUCCUGAGCCAGGACUCGAACUAC